ACACACUCAGGGAGUGCACCAUGUGAAGACUGGACUUAAACAGCUACACCACCAGAAGCCGAGAGAGAGGCUGGAACAUAGCCUUCCCUUUGGAGCCCUAGCAGAUGCUAAUCCAGCGUGCGUCCUGGCAGAGGUUGAAGGGGGCUCCUCAAGUCCCAGGUCCAGCUUGGUGUGGUUCAGCUACUCGAGAGACAUCUGCUGCUAAUGGAUGAGCAGUCAACCUGGACGCAGGAAAUCAUUUUUUAUUUGGGGCAAAGAGGCAGAGGAAUGGAGCUCAGAGCUUUUAGAGAAUAUGGGCCAGAAACAGGAAGGAGUCAGGACCUGAUAACGGGAACCAGCGGACAGUGAACGCAGUGGAGGGCCACUGGGGCCGGAGCAGCCGAGAGAUUUCAGGAGACAAGCAAAGUGGAUCAGCAAAGGCUGCAGUCACCAGCAUCUUUUCCAACCUUAAUGAACUGUAUCCUCAAAAGAACACUAUCAGACUGGCUCUGCCGACUUCCAGUUCUGGAACAAGAUGGUUAAACUCAUUUUUCCCUGCUCUGCUCCUCUAAAUACAACUAAGUACCUUGGAAACUAUUCAGCAGACAAUGAUAAAGGGCUCUGAAAGCUAGAAGAAAAGGUGUACUUGCAAGAAACCUCAGGACUUGAGUAACAGCAACAUGGCAGGCCAGAAAGCAGACCCAGGGAGGAUAGCACAUGUCUUCGGCUACACUGGUGAAGGCAUCGUGCCUGCUCCACAGCACAUUUUUAUUCAAGGAAAGGAGAAAGAGACUACCUACUGCAUUUCUGUCACUCGCUGAAAAGGACACUCUGUCAGAAAAUCUUCUAGCAAACUUCAAAGGGCAAAAUCACCCCUUGUUACUGAUAAAGCCCAGAGAGCUUCAGCAGCUAACAUUCCCUGGACAGGGCACAGCAAGGAUUUGAACCUAGGUCAGUCUGGCCAGAACACCCACAAGCUUUCCUUAACUCAGUGUGCUAUCUCCCCACGACUAGGUCACUACUGCUUUAUAAUCACCUUUGUAGCCACCAGUGGAUUUUGCUCAUCAGUAUUUUUCAGGCAAUUGAUACUUUAGAUAUUCAGCUGCAAGACGUAUGCAGUUUUCAUUGACAUCUUUUGGAGAAACUGACAAACCUGGACUUGACUUAAUGCCUUUGGAACCUUCCAAGAUGUUAUAUAACUCUAGAUAGAAGGCUGGGCCUCCAUGAUGUCAGGAAUGUUGCAUUCUUAUUUCCCCAUAGAUAAACCCAUUUGUCCACAAAGUCAAGGAGUCAGGCAGAGGCCCUUGCCAUGGGGCUUUUUAGGAUAAAGCAACAAGCCUGGACUUUGCUCUACAACAGGGUUUUGCAUAGGGAGUGGUAUGACCAGAUCCCUCAAGAAAGAAAGCUUAGAGACCAGGCCAGAGUCCACUGCAGUAGCCCAGUCAAGAGAGGAUGGUGACUUGGACUUGUAGUAGAGCCAGUUAGAAUGAAAGAAAUUGACACAUUCAGAAAUGGUUUUAGAGAUAGAGUCAAACUGGACCUGAUAAAGAACUAGAGAAGCGGAGUGAGGAUAAAGAGAAGAGCCAUGACUGACUCGGAAGAUUUUGUCUUGAAAAACUUGAGAACUCAAGACAGAGUGAAAUAAAAUCACAUGUGGGAAAAAUCUCCUGCUUUGUUUUGGACUACUUUGAAGUGAAAUGCCUGUUAAGCCUAAGUGGGGUAGGUCAUGGCGUACAUGACUGUGGGCUCAGGAUGGAUACAGGCAUUCAGGAGUUGUGAGCAAAUAGAACUUAAAGCCAUGAGAGAAGAAGGGAUCACCAAGAGAGACAGUGUGGCAUAGAGAAGAAAAGGGGUGGAAGACGAUCCCUGGGCAGAAAAGUCCUUAGAGCAGAGGCAACAGGCAUGACCAAGAAGACUAAGAAAGAACAUUCAGUACAGCAGGAGGAGAGCAAAAAAUGUGUGGUAUUCUAGAAGCAAAGAGAAUAAAGGGCUUCAGGAAGGAGCAGUCAAGUGUGUCAAAUAAGAUAAAGACAGACAAGUCCCCUGGAUUGGGUAGGAAUAAAAUAACAACAGACUGCCAUACAAAUGGUUCUAUCUACACCAUCUAAAAGAAUAUAGUUUAUUCUCCAUACAUUUAAGAAACACCUGCCAUAUGCCAGGUAUCCUUUCAAGCACUGAAAUGCAGAUUCAUAAAACAUGGUCUCUGCUCUCAAGGAGCUCACAGUGGUAAGGAGGAA
rnacentral:lncRNA from 1 species